rnacentral:rRNA from 1 species
UACGGAGGGUGCAAGCGUUAAUCGGAAUUACUGGGCGUAAAGCGUACGUAGGCGGCUUGUUAAGCAAGAUGUGAAAUCCCCGGGCUCAACCUGGGAAUGGCAUUUUGAACUGGCAGGCUCGAGUUCUGAAGAGGGUGGUAGAAUUUCCAGUGUAGCGGUGAAAUGCGUAGAUAUCGGGAGGAACACCAGUAGCGAAGGCGGCCAUCUGGCUGAUAACUGACGCUGAGGUGCGAGAGCGUGGGGAGCAAACAGG